UGACCUCGGAUCAGGUAGGACUACCCGCUGAACUUAAGCAUAUCAAUAAGCGGAGGAAAAGAAACCAACAGGGAUUGCCCCAGUAACGGCGAGUGAAGCGGCAACAGCUCAAAUUUGAAAUCUGGCCCUCGGGUCCGAGUUGUAAUUUGGAGAGGAUGCUUCUGGCGCGGCGCCGUCCGAGUUCCUUGGAACAGGACGCCAUAGAGGGUGAGAGCCCCGUACGGGCGGACGCCUAGCCUUUGUGAAGCUCCUUCGACGAGUCGAGUAGUUUGGGAAUGCUGCUCAAAAUGGGAGGUAAAUUUCUUCUAAAGCUAAAUACCGGCCAGAGACCGAUAGCGCACAAGUAGAGUGAUCGAAAGAUGAAAAGCACUUUGAAAAGAGGGUUAAAAAGUACGUGAAAUUGUUGAAAGGGAAGCGCCUGUGACCAGACUUGCUGCCCGCGGAUCAUCCGGCGUUCUUCGCCGGUGCGCUCCGCGGGCGGCAGGCCAGCAUCGGUUCUCCUGGGGGGUUAAAGGUUGCGGGAACGUGGCUCCUACGGGAGUGUUAUAGCCCGCUUCGUCAUGCCUCCGGGGGGACCGAGGACCGCGCUUCGGCAAGGAUGCUGGCGUAAUGGUCACCGGCGACCCGU
rnacentral:rRNA from 1 species